AGAGUUUGAUCAUGGCUCAGGAUGAACGCUGGCGGUAUGCUUAACACAUGCAAGUCGAACGGAAUGCUUAGGCAUUUAGUGGCGGACGGGUGAGUAACGCGUGAGAAUCUGGCUUUAGGUCUGGGACAACCACGGGAAACGGUGGCUAAUACCGGAUGUGCCGAAAGGUGAAAGGCUUGCUGCCUAAAGAUGAGCUCGCGUCUGAUUAGCUAGUAGGUGGGGUAAAAGCCUACCUAGGCGACGAUCAGUAGCUGGUCUGAGAGGAUGAUCAGCCACACUGGGACUGAGACACGGCCCAGACUCCUACGGGAGGCAGCAGUGGGGAAUUUUCCGCAAUGGGCGAAAGCCUGACGGAGCAAUACCGCGUGAGGGAGGAAGGCUCUUGGGUUGUAAACCUCUUUUCUCAAGGAAGAAAAAAAUGACGGUACUUGAGGAAUAAGCAUCGGCUAACUCCGUGCCAGCCGCCGCGGUAAUUC
rnacentral:rRNA from 1 species